rnacentral:rRNA from 1 species
GACUCUCGGCAACGGAUAUCUCGGCUCUUGCAUCGAUGAAGAACGUAGCGAAAUGCGAUACUUGGUGUGAAUUGCAGAAUCCCGUGAACCAUCGAGUCUUUGAACGCAAGUUGCGCCCGAAGCCAUUAGGCUGAGGGCACGCCUGCCUGGGUGUUG